rnacentral:rRNA from 1 species
UACAGAGGUCUCAAGCGUUGUUCGGAUUCAUUGGGCGUAAAGGGUGCGUAGGCGGCGCGGUAAGUCGGGUGUGAAAUCUCGGAGCUUAACUCCGAAACUGCAUUCGAUACUGCCGUGCUUGAGGACUGGAGAGGAGACUGGAAUUUACGGUGUAGCGGUGAAAUGCGUAGAUAUCUGGAGGAACACCGGUGGCGAAGGCGGCAUCCUGGACCGGUAUUGACGCUGAGGCGCGAAAGCCAGGGGAGCAAAGCGGG